rnacentral:rRNA from 1 species
UUCCGGGCGACGAGUGGCGGACGGGUGAGUAACGCGUGGGAAUCUACCUAGUAGCGGGGGACAACUCGAGGAAACUCGAGCUAAUACCGCAUAAUCCCUUCGGGGGAAAGGCUUCGGCCACUAUUAGAUGAGCCCGCGUCCGAUUAGCUUGUUGGUGAGGUAACUGCUCACCAAGGCUACGAUCGGUAGCUGGUCUGAGAGGAUGAUCAGCCACACUGGGACUUAGACACGGCCCAGACUCCUACGGGAGGCAGCAGUGGGGAAUAUUGCACAAUGGGCGAAAGCCUGAUGCAGCAAUGCCGCGUGUGUGAAGAAGGCCUGCGGGUUGUAAAGCACUUUCAGUAGGGAAGAUAAUGACGGUACCUACAGAAGAAGCACCGGCUAACUCCGUGCCAGCAGCCGCGGUAAUACGGAGGGUGCGAGCGUUAAUCGGAAUUACUGGGCGUAAAGCGCGCGUAGGCGGCUCAUUAAGUCGGAUGUGAAAGCCCUGGGCUUAACCUAGGAACUGCAUUCGAUACUGGUGGGCUAGAGUAUAGAAGAGGGAAGCGGAAUUCCGGAUGUAGCGGUGAAAUGCGUAGAUAUCCGGAGGAACACCAGUGGCGAAGGCGGCUUCCUGGGCUAAUACUGACGCUAAGGUGCGAAAGCGUGGG